CCAUAUGGUCGACCUGCAGGCGGCCGGAAUUCACUAGUGAUUCGUAUUACCGCGGCUGCUGGCACAGAGUUAGCCGGUGCUUAUUCUGUCGGUAACGUCAAAACACUAACGUAUUAGGUUAAUGCCCUUCCUCCCAACUUAAAGUGCUUUACAAUCCGAAGACCUUCUUCACACACGCGGCAUGGCUGGAUCAGGCUUUCGCCCAUUGUCCAAUAUUCCCCACUGCUGCCUCCCGUAGGAGUCUGGACCGUGUCUCAGUUCCAGUGUGACUGAUCAUCCUCUCAGACCAGUUACGGAUCGUCGCCUUGGUGAGCCAUUACCCCACCAACUAGCUAAUCCGACCUAGGCUCAUCUGAUAGCGCAAGGCCCGAAGGUCCCCUGCUUUCUCCCGUAGGACGUAUGCGGUAUUAGCGUCCGUUUCCGAGCGUUAUCCCCCACUACCAGGCAGAUUCCUAGGCAUUACUCACCCGUCCGCCGCUCUCAAGAGGUGCAAGCACCUCUCUACCGCUCGACUUGCAUGUGUUAGGCCUGCCCCCAGCGUUCAAUCUGAGCCAUGAUCAAACUCUAAUCGAAUUCCCGCG
rnacentral:rRNA from 1 species